AAUAUUCUCCCUCCAUUCGGAAUUAUUUGUCAUGGAAAUUGAUGUAUCUAAACAUAUUUAGUUUGAGAUACAUCUAUUUUUAUUUAUUUUUGCGACAAGUAUUUCCGGACGAAGGGAGUAUUUG
rfam:Triticum aestivum genome assembly, contig: Triticum_aestivum_CS42_TGACv1_scaffold_404121_5BL